rnacentral:rRNA from 1 species
CCUACGGGAGGCUGCAGUGAGGAAUAUUGGUCAAUGGCCGAGAGGCUGAACCAGCCAAGUCGCGUGAGGGAAGACGGCCCUACGGGUUGUAAACCUCUUUUGUCGGGGAGCAAAGCGAACCACGUGUGGUUCAUUGAGAGUACCCGAAGAAAAAGCAUCGGCUAACUCCGUGCCAGCAGCCGCGGUAAUACGGAGGAUGCGAGCGUUAUCCGGAUUUAUUGGGUUUACAGGGUGCGCAGGCGGAGGUGCAAGUCAGCGGUCAAAUUGCGGGGCUCAACCCCGUACUGCCGUUGAAACUGCAUCCCUUGAGUGCGCGAGAAGUAUGCGGAAUGCGUGGUGUAGCAGUGAAAUGCAUAGAUAUCACGCAGAACUCCGAUUGCGAAGGCAGUUUGCUGCAGCGGAACUGACGCUGAUGCUCGAAAGCGCGGGUAUCGAACAGGAUUAGAUACCCCUGUAGUC